GAUGAAGAACGUAGCGAAAUGCGAUAAGUAAUGUGAAUUGCAGAAUUCAGUGAAUCAUCGAAUCUUUGAACGCACAUUGCGCCCGCCAGUAUUCUGGCGGGCAUGCCUGUCCGAGCGUCAUUUCAACCCUCAAGCCCCCGGGCUUGGUGUUGGAGAUCGGCGAGCCCCCCGGGGCGCGCCGUCUCCCAAAUAUAGUGGCGGUCCCGCUGUAGCUUCCUUUGCGUAGUAGCACACCUCGCACUGGGAAACAGCGUGGCCACGCCGUAAAACCCCCCACUUCUGAAAGGUUGACCUCGGAUCAGGUAGGAAUACCCGCUGAACUUAAGCAUAUCAAUAAGCGGAGGA
rnacentral:misc_RNA from 1 species